UGGGGACAAAGCAGACUCCCCGUGAGACCUCGGUCCAAGCUCUGC
rfam:Bradyrhizobium sp. LTSP849 NODE_23, whole genome shotgun sequence.